GCCUGGCUAGCUCAGUUUGUAGAGCAUCAGAUUUUUAAUCUGAGGGUCCAGGGUUCAAGUCCCUAGGCAGGCA